AGGAUGUGUCCUCGUAUAAAUAUCACCGCGACCUACUCGCAGACUCAUUACGCACGGAAAGAAACCCCACGUCCAACGGCGGCGUGACCCCACGACCAGGCCGCGGGACGUGGAGCGCGGGUAGCCCGGCCAAUCUGGAGCAGCGCACGGGCGUAGAAUGCAGGCAGCCCCGGCCAACAGCGCGCGGGCGUGGAAAGCGGGUGUCCCGCGGCCCGGUCAACCCUCGCCGGAGCAGCACGCACACUUGGAAGGCCCCCGGAUUUUAGUCGUGCAGGCACGGAGCUCUACAUGACGACAAACACAAAAGUUACUCAAGAAUACAAGACAGAAGAAGUGGAACAAAAUACCAGGUAAAUUUCGCCAUGUCUCACCCUGAGAUGCAGACUACAGCAGGGAUUCACUGGCAAGCACGAAGCCCAGUCAAGGAAGGAUCGGGGUGUGCAUUCAUGAUUUGCACGCAAGAAGAUUGAAAAAAACAAGCAUUGAAUGCAGCA